rnacentral:rRNA from 1 species
AUUGAACGCUGGCGGCAGGCUUAACACAUGCAAGUCGAGCGGGGAAAGGUAGCUUGCUACUUAACCUAGCGGCGGACGGGUGAGUAAUGCUUAGGAAUCUACCUAUUAGUGGGGGACAACGUUCCGAAAGGGACGCUAAUACCGCAUACGUCCUACGGGAGAAAGCAGGGGGUCUUCGGACCUUGCGCUAAUAGAUGAGCCUAAGUCGGAUUAGCUAGUUGGUGGGGUAAAGGCCUACCAAGGCGACGAUCCGUAGCGGGUCUGAGAGGAUGAUCCGCCACACUGGGACUGAGACACGGCCCAGACUCCUACGGGAGGCAGCAGUGGGGAAUAUUGGACAAUGGGGGGAACCCUGAUCCAGCCAUGCCGCGUGUGUGAAGAAGGCCUUUUGGUUGUAAAGCACUUUAAGCGAGGAGGAGGCUACCGAGAUUAAUACUCUUGGAUAGUGGACGUUACUCGCAGAAUAAGCACCGGCUAACUCUGUGCCAGCCGCCGCCGUAAUAC